rnacentral:rRNA from 1 species
GAGCUUGCUCUCGGGUGACGAGUGGCGGACGGGUGAGUAAUGUCUGGGAAACUGCCUGAUGGAGGGGGAUAACUACUGGAAACGGUAGCUAAUACCGCAUAACGUCGCAAGACCAAAGAGGGGGACCUUCGGGCCUCUUGCCAUCAGAUGUGCCCAGAUGGGAUUAGCUAGUAGGUGGGGUAAUGGCUCACCUAGGCGACGAUCCCUAGCUGGUCUGAGAGGAUGACCAGCCACACUGGAACUGAGACACGGUCCAGACUCCUACGGGAGGCAGCAGUGGGGAAUAUUGCACAAUGGGCGCAAGCCUGAUGCAGCCAUGCCGCGUGUAUGAAGAAGGCCUUCGGGUUGUAAAGUACUUUCAGCGGGGAGGAAGGUGUUGUGGUUAAUAACCGCAGCAAUUGACGUUACCCGCAGAAGAAGCACCGGCUAACUCCGUGCCAGCAGCCGCGGUAAUACGGAGGGUGCAAGCGUUAAUCGGAAUUACUGGGCGUAAAGCGCACGCAGGCGGUCUGUCAAGUCGGAUGUGAAAUCCCCGGGCUCAACCUGGGAACUGCAUUCGAAACUGGCAGGCUAGAGUCUUGUAGAGGGGGGUAGAAUUCCAGGUGUAGCGGUGAAAUGCGUAGAGAUCUGGAGGAAUACCGGUGGCGA